rnacentral:rRNA from 1 species
AGUACGGCCGCAAGGUUAAAACUCAAAGGAAUCGACGGGGACCCGCACAAGCGGUGGAGCAUGUGGUUUAAUUCGAUGCAACGCGAAGAACCUUACCUGGUCUUGACAUCCUGCGAACUUUCUAGAAAUAGAUUGGUGCCUUCGGGAACGCAGUGACAGGUGCUGCAUGGCUGUCGUCAGCUCGUGUCGUGAGAUGUUGGGUUAAGUCCCGUAACGAGCGCAACCCCUAUCCUUAUUUGCCAGCACAUCAUGGUGGGAACUAUAAGGAGACUGCCGGUGAUAAGCCGGAGGAAGGCGGGGACGACGUCAAGUCAUCAUGGCCCUUACGACCAGGGCUACACACGUGCUACAAUGGGAAGGACAAAGAGCCGCGAAGCCGCGAGGUGUAGCUAAUCUCAUAAACCUUUUCGUAGUCCGGAUUGGAGUCUGCAACUCGACUCCAUGAAGUCGGAAUCGCUAGUAAUCGUAGAUCAGAAUGCUACGGUGAAUACGUUCCCGGGUCUUGUACACACCGCCCGUCAUACCAUGGGAGUGGGUUGCACCAGAAGCGGCUAGUCUAACUUAGUGAGGACGGUCACCACGGUGUGAUUCAUGACUGGGGUAAAGUCGUAACAAGGUAACC